UACAGAGGGUGCAAGCGUUAAUCGGAAUGACUGGGCGUAAAGAGCGCGUAGGCGGACACAUGUGUCGUAGGUGAAAUCCCCGGGCUUAACCUGGGAACUGCCUAUGAAACUAUGUGACUAGAAUAUAGGAGAGGGAAGUGGAAUUUCCGGUGUAGCGGUGAAAUGCGUAGAUAUCGGAAAGAACACCAGUGGCGAAGGCGGCUUUCUGGCCAAAUAUUGACGCUGAGGCGCGAAAGCGUGGGUAGCGAACAGG
rnacentral:rRNA from 1 species